GCGUCCUGGUGGCCGAUGGGGAGACGGUCCCGGUGGGCACGCCGCUGCUGAUCCUGGCCAGCAGCCAGGAGGAGGCCGCUCAGCUCCGCUGACGGCGCGC
rnacentral:tRNA from 15 species